UAAGAGCUUCAAGCUAUGUUGUAAAGUUGCAAGAGUGUUUGGCAUACUAGAGCAAGUGCUCGACAAAUGAUAAUUAUCAUUACUAUUUUGUUGUUUUUUGAGUGCUCCUUGUGCCAGAUAAGUGCUUUACCUGUAUUAUCUGAUUCAAUUAUCACAUCAACUUCAUAAGUACCAUUAUCAUGCUUCUUUUAUAGAUGUGAGAACUGGGGCUCAGAAAAGUAACUUGCCCCAAAUUACACAACUAGUUAGUGCAUAGGGCUGCACAAUUAGUUGUCUGAUGGAGUAGCGUGGUACUAGCACUCUUUAUUACUUAGAAAGUUCUAGUAAAGAGAUCAGGCAGUCCAAUUACCACUGGGUGUAUUGACCUCUUCUCGGGUUCUAUUAGUUUCUGGUUUUUUUGAGUGGUUCCUUAGCCACAUGAGCCUCAGCUUUGUAGAUAAAGAAUUGGAGCCUCUGUAGCCACAACUUUACAUAGACAAACUCUGGGGAACAGCAGCUGCUGAAGGGAGAAAGAAAAUGGACAGUAUUCAGAGCACGAAGGGCUGAACACAUGACGUUAUCCCAUUUGAAGCCUCUUUCCACCUGGCCAGCCGAAGGCUCCAACAGCUACAGAUGUCAAUACAUGGGAUGCUUUGGGAAUGAACAAGAGAAGUGUCCUACUGGCAGGAAG
rnacentral:lncRNA from 1 species